UUGGGUCAUGUGAUGAUUUUAUACGCAUAGUUCAGAUGAUAAUCUGUGAUUAUAACAAACAAUUUAGUCUUUCGCUCCUAUCUGAUGACCCUU
rnacentral:snoRNA from 1 species